UAUUGCCACUAUGAAGAAGAAUCUCUGUAAACUAAUUACAGUAAGUUAUAUAAAUUCAAUAAAUUUUCAUAAACAUCCAACAUCAACACACAUAAGGAGCAUCCAUACCAAUUGAGAAUCAAAACCAUUUAUAUGCUCAGCUCACUCUUGGCAUAACUCCACACCAGUCUUUAUCACAUAAAAGUAUUCAAGUAAUCGAGACCAAAACUAUAACACUUCUGUUGAGGAGAGUAUAAAUCAAAAUUUUCUUUUCAUUAAAAGGAGCAAAGAAGAAACACUAAAUUCACAUUAGAAUAUAUCUAUAUUUAAAAAUGGAAUAAUGUGCUGAUUGCAUGAUUUUUAAAGUUAAGUAUAAUAGUUUCCAUGACAAGACUCCUAUAUUGUGUUUCUACCAUUAUGAUAAAGGAUUUAUUUCUAUAAUUGUUAAUCAAAAGCUUAGUGCCUUCACUCGACUAAGCAUCUUAUGUGGG
rnacentral:misc_RNA from 1 species